GAAUGUAUACAACUCUUCUCUUUCAUUAGAGCAAGCUAAAAAAAGCACAGCAAGCAUGGUUAAAAUGGCAUCAUAUGCAAUGCCUAUUCUUUUCUUCAUUUUGUUAACAUCUUAUAAUAUUGCUAUUGCUCAAACCGCUGAGGAUCUUCAAACCAUAUUAGCUGCAAAUGCAAUCAAAGAGAAGCCGAUGGUCAUCGGCGAACGUAAAACGGAAGCCGGCGGUGGACAUGAUUCCAGGAGCAGCGGACCCGGGCAUCGAUAGAGGGAGAGGUCCCAGGGAUGGACUGGCCACCUCUAACUCAAAAUUUUUAAUAUAUUUGCAUCAUAAAGUAAUGAAAAUUUUUAAUUUUACGCUUUAAAAUGAUUGUUUAAUUUUGUCUCUGUAGCUUUUGAAAAUUUUUUAGUUCUCUUAGUUUCGAUUUCUCGUUUCGUCGCUGGACCCGGCAGUGGCGGUGGACAAGGUUCAUAGCAAAUACACAUGUAACAGGACAUGGUCCACAAGUUCGAUAUUUUAUAUUUAGAGCAGUGAUACAUGGAACGAUUUUCAUUCCAAGCACGGCAAAUAUUUUGUACUUACCGGUGGGCCAUGGUAAUUUUUUAUUGAAUCCCGCGUAGAAGAAAUGAAAAGGGUAACAGGCGUAAUUGGCUCCUUAGAGGGAAGGGUAAAGCAGACAAUUCCAAUAGUCAUUGAAAGUGACUGAUGGGAUACUGGCAUACUGCUUAGCAGGUUACAAGUUUAUGACAAAUUUAUAAAUAAUAAUAUUUCUUUUUUUUCUUGCUCAA